GGGAACAUAAUUAAUUUUCAAUUCAGUAGUCAAAAACAUGAUAAUAGUAAACUGAAAUCUUUGAAUGUUUAUGAUCAAUUCAAUUUCCAAAUACAUUCGAAGGCAAAAUUAUCCGAACCAUCAACAAGUGAUAUUACACAGAAUUUCAAAUUCUGGGGUAUUUGAAUUAAACAAUUGGUGAAUUUACCUAAUAUAGUGAAAGUAGUGAGCAAGAUUUUUCAUUUUGAGACACUUGAGGUUUCAAGUUAAUUCCUUCUCCGGGAACAUUAUUUACGACAACGAUGCAAGAAUCAUUCAAAAGUCGCGAAUCGGAACCACUUUUCAAUAAUUGAUGGUUCGUCGCGGAAUUGUGGGCUUCUGAGGCUUUCGAUUACUCGUGCGAUCUAUCGAAAAAUGCAGAUUUUCUCAAUUGCGAUUAGUAAACAUGACAAUUGUUGAAUAUUCACAAAUCGUAUGGAUCGGUUCGAUCUUUGACGACGCAUACCAGAGAUUCUAGCUCUAAACUCGUUGGCGCAUACAUCUAUCCAAGCCUAUCCAAAAUUAUAAAUUUGUAAUAUUUACAACAAAUAUCGUGCCAUUCAAAUUUUUGGGGUUAGAAAUUUGGGAAUGAUCAAACUUGGAUUGGUACGAUGAUUUGAAGUAUUUAUUCUCGAAAGAACAAGUGGUUUAGCAUGUCGGACUAUCAAGAAGUUAUCAACACGUGUGGAGACGGUGUUGUCUGUUUUCGUAACAAAGGUGCAUUGGACGUGGAUCAAAUAAAAAAUCUAUUUUCCCAGUAUGGCCAAGUAUUACAAGUAAAUUGCGCUGGUACUCAUGAAUGUGGAUACCGUUUUGUAAGAUUUCGGUCAAAAGAGGAUGCGGUAAAAUGUGCUCAGGCAAUGAAAGGACAUCCUGACAUACAAUUGCAACCAGUGAGGCGAAAGAACAAGGAACAAAAGAAAUACAAUGAUCAGUCGCAACACAAACCCAAUAAUUAUAACAAAAACCACACAGGCUAUGAACAGACAAACAAUGAAACAUUUCACAGCAACGCACAUACUCAUCAAACAGGUACAACUGAAAAUGGUCCUACCGUGGCACUACAUCAAACAAAUAUGCAGUUUUCGAAUCAAGACAAAGAAAACGAGGUUUCUAAUUAUUCCAACGGUGCUCAUGAUGUUAAUCAAAGAAAUUCUGAAGAGAUUUAUCUGAAAUCGAACAACGCUGAUCCAGUAAAGAAACCAUUAAGUGCAAGAGUAGCCCAAAACUUGCCAAAUGAUGAACCUAAAGCUGUGAUUACAUCGAAUCUGACUGUCGAAAAAUUUGCAGAAUUACAAAGACGUCGAGGCAUGACUUCCAAUACAUUUAGCCCACAAAACCAAAUGGAAGACACUGAAUCUCAAAAAUCAGUCAAAGACAUGUCUCCCAACCCAUUACGUGUAAAGUCGUGGCCACCUUUGAACAAUGCUAUUAAGGGACCACCAUCAGUGACUGAUAUGCCGCCACCAUUAAUAGCCUGUACGUCUUAUCUAGACAAAGCCAGUGCAGAAGAACCUGAAAUGCAUGUUAUUUCUGCCUAUGACGUGAUUAUAGCAAAUAUUCAUUCAAAUCUUGGAGUCAAUGACAUAUAUCAUGUAUUCCGCAAUUACGAUUUGGUCUAUGUUUCUGACAUUGAAACUAUACCACAGAUUAACAUACGGUUCUGCUACAUUUAUUUUGCCUCAGAAAAUGAUGCUCGCAGAGCCGAAAAAUCCUUUGACGGACUACAAGUAUUAGGAAAACAUUUAAUUACUUUACAAUCACAUACAUUGGAACUUGAAUCAAGAAUCUUCUAGGGUAAUUCCAAUACCUUUAAUACAGUCAUAAAUAAGUAGCGGUACAUCUGAUACUUACUUUAGCAGAAUCCAACAUCUCAACGAUGAAGAACAGUUGCUGAUUCUUGGAACAUAUAGAUGAACCUGAAACAAGAAAACACAAAGUUGUUCAAAUGGUUGAUACAUGAGAUGAAAAGAUUAACGUAGUUAGAAAUAUUUUAAUUUGAUGCUUUUAUAAUUACAAUUUCAAUUUUUUUGUUGGUGGAAUCUUCAUUUUUGUCCUGUCAUUUUCGUCAGUGAUAUAAUUUCAAAAAUACGCAACACAAAAAUUAAAGUUAUUCAGAUUUAUCAAAACUCUAAGUCAUCCUACUUGCGCAUAGGUCAUUUUCUCAAUUUAUAGUAUUUCAACUUUGACUAAAACAUUAUUAAGUUUACGAUGGCACCCCUUACAAAAGAUACAGAUAUUGGAUUUAAACAUUAAUUUGAAGAUGAUCAUGCAGCUAUAUUAAGCUUUGAUAACAAGUGAAAUGUAACUUUACAUGAUCUUGUGGUGUUACCGUUAUUUGAAAAUAUUUUUUCUUGUAACUUUCAUUUUAUCUAAAUGUUGAACUUGCAGAGUAUUUUAUGAAUUGUUAACCAAAUCCUUUGCACUUUGAUGGAUAAUUUCUUUAAAUUCCGUCAUAACUCCUACAUUGAUAGGAUUUUACGCUAUGACCAUACUGUAAAAUAAACAUGUGAUAAUAGCAUUAAUAGCUAUUGAUAGAAACUCUCAGUGAUUAAAGUCAUAAGGUUAUAUCAUAUGCCUAACUUAUACAAACCUAUUUAAUUAAUAUCGUAAUAUACAAAUUAGCUAACAUUCGUAGUUGUAUCACCACAUUAUUUUCCAUUCAAGAGACGCUGUAGUUUGCUUAAAAAAUAAAUUUCAUUCAGAACAUA